UGGGGAAUAUUGCACAAUGGGCGCAAGCCUGAUGCAGCCAUGCCGCGUGUAUGAAGAAGGCCUUCGGGUUGUAAAGUACUUUCAGCGGGGAGGAAGGCGAUGUGGUUAAUAACCGCGUCGAUUGACGUUACCCGCAGAAGAAGCACCGGCUAACUCCGUGCCAGCAGCCGCGGUAAUACGGAGGGUGCAAGCGUUAAUCGGAAUUACUGGGCGUAAAGCGCACGCAGGCGGUCUGUCAAGUCGGAUGUGAAAUCCCCGGGCUCAACCUGGGAACUGCAUCCGAAACUGGCAGGCUAGAGUCUCGUAGAGGGGGGUAGAAUUCCAGGUGUAGCGGUGAAAUGCGUAGAGAUCUGGAGGAAUACCGGUGGCGAAGGCGGCCCCCUGGACGAAGACUGACGCUCAGGUGCGAAAGCGUGGGGAGCAAACA
rnacentral:rRNA from 1 species